UGACAUAUUGACAAUAAUGGUUCAUGAUAAAGAUUUUUGAUAUAUUCAAUAAUAACGAUGAAGGUUGUAAAUAUAUAACCAAUAAUAAUAUAAUAAAAUAAAAACUUCACUUUCUGAAAUUUUUAAUGAAUAUUUUUUUAUAUAAAAAGUUGCACCGUUGAUGGCAAUUGUUUCGGCAUCUCUGCUAUAUAGAAACUAAAAUGACAAGCUUCUGUUUAACCAAAAAUGACAAGCUUCUAUUUAACCCAUCAAUCAAAGCAUAACGUCAAGCUUUCAAUAUUUUUGUCCAGCCACCUCCCCCACUUUCAGGUUCCUUUAAUGCUCUCUAAUCCUCUAAAGCACCUUCAUGACUACUGACUCCCCAUAUUACUCACUCUCUCUAUAUAAGCUCCAUUCACAUCUUCACAAAGAAGAUAAAACUCAUCAGAGAUAAUUGAUGAGAGUGAUCUGCUUUUGAGCUCGACGGAUAAAUUAAGGCAAUUUUAAGUCUCGAUUUUACUUCUCAAUGAAAGCUUUCAAUUUUCCGCAAUUCCAAACAUCUUUAUAAAGUACAAAAGAUAAACUUUCAUUUGAUUGAAAUGUGUGUUUCUAAAUGUCAAAGAGGUUACGAAUGUUGAAUAGACCCCCCAACUCUAUGCCUAACAAAACGCCAAAAUCAACCUCUAAGGCCCCUUCUGCUACUUUUAUUCAGGAUCUUCGCUUUAACUACACACUGACUGAAUUCAACCACCGACAGGGUACGGUUAUGCAUGGGUUUAUCUCCUUUAUAUCGUGUAGACAUGUACAAAACUGUGCUGAAGCUUAUCUUAAGUUGUAACGAAUUGUAUUUUUCUUUGGAUCUAAUAUAGAUAGGUCGAAGCCUGAAGUAAAAGAAGAAGUUUAAUACAAUCAGUUGUUGCAAACAUCAAAGUUUUUUUCUUCGUAUAUUUUCAAACAAGUAGAUGAAGCUGUCCAAAGAGAUAUGUCACUUUUCAUCCUUCUUUGAAAGAAAUAAAGAAAAUUAACUAAAAUUUUGUUUCAACUGUUUUGAAAUCUGUUUUUCUCUUUCUCUUUCGACUGAUAUCAUUUUUUGUUUCCUCACUUGAUGUUGGGAUGCCUAUUAAAUACAGUUUUUUUAAAAAAAUUGAAAUGUUUUUGGGUCUGUCUUAGUCAGGAGAAAGAGUCCAAGAAGCUUCCACGAAGUAUCUAGAGUCCAGUGAAGUUGUUGAUUCUCUCACCGAAAUUCUGGUUGCUUUGAAUGAGAAGAAUGACAAGCCUACGUCUACUUUUGAAAUCAUUUAGCAAAAGCUAGGAGGUCCUUCAGUCUCUGACUACGAGAAGCUUCACGCUGAGAAGUCUGAACUUCAAAUAAAAUACAAUGAUCUUUUGGCUAAACAGCCGGGCACCUUCACAGAGGUAUCAUAUCAUUAAACAGUCUAUAUAGUAGGACAUGAUUCCAUUCUGAUGUAGCUCCUUAGUACUGGUUUUACCAUAGUUUUUCACCAUCCAUAAGCAGUCCAUAUAUCUCGAGUAUCUAACUUUAUCCACAGCUCAGUUUGGUCAUGUACGAGCUCAUAGGGUUUAAUUAGUUUGGCAUAUUCUAUUUGUGGUCAUUGUUACAAUUAGACACAGUGAAGAGCCUGCAUUCACGAAACUCUUCAGUAGAUGAUGUAAACAGAGACGCCAUUGAAGACAAACACACUGGCACCUGUGGCUGAUUUUGUAUCUGUACAUGUAGUUCUCAUUGCAAUAGCUUUUUUUUUUUAAAUCUCCAGUGUACUUUUAGUUUCAUAUAUGCACGUAAUGCAGGAAAAUAAAUAUAAUAACAGAAGCUGAUCAAGCACACAUA